UACAGAGGUCUCGAGCGUUGUUCGGAUUUACUGGGCGUAAAGGGAGCGUAGGCGGUUCGGUAUGUCGAAUGUGAAAGCCCACAACUCAACUGUGGAAAUGCAUUCGAAACUGCCGGGCUAGAGUACUGGAGAGGAGAGCGGAAUUCUUGGUGUAGCGGUGAAAUGCGUAGAUAUCAAGAGGAACACCGGUGGCGAAGGCGGCUCUCUGGACAGAUACUGACGCUGAGGCUCUAAAGUUAGGGGAGCAAACAGGAUUAGAUACCCUGGUAGUCCUAACCUUAAACGGUGUACACUUGGUGUGCGAGGAAUUGUCCCUUUGCGCGCCGUAGCUAACGCGAUAAGUGUACCGCCUGGGGAGUACGGUCGCAAGAUUAAA
rnacentral:rRNA from 1 species